GACGAACGCUGGCGGCGUGCUUAACACAUGCAAGUCGAACGGAAAGGCCCUGCUUUUGUGGGGUGCUCGAGUGGCGAACGGGUGAGUAACACGUGAGUAACCUGCCCUUGACUUUGGGAUAACUUCAGGAAACUGGGGCUAAUACCGGAUAGGAGCUCCUGCUGCAUGGUGGGGGUUGGAAAGUUUCGGCGGUUGGGGAUGGACUCGCGGCUUAUCAGCUUGUUGGUGGGGUAGUGGCUUACCAAGGCUUUGACGUGUAGCCGGCCUGAGAGGGUGACCGGCCACAUUGGGACUGAGAUACGGCCCAGACUCCUACGGGAGGCAGCAGUGGGGAAUAUUGCACAAUGGGCGGAAGCCUGAUGCAGCAACGCCGCGUGCGGGAUGACGGCCUUCGGGUUGUAAACCGCUUUCGCCUGUGACGAAGCGUGAGUGACGGUAAUGGGUAAAGAAGCACCGGCUAACUACGUG
rnacentral:rRNA from 1 species